rnacentral:lncRNA from 1 species
GGGAAACUAGGUGGCACAAUAGUUAGCUCAUGACUCUGCUCCUCAUCUCCUAUGUGGAUGGCAUCAACAUCGUCUGAAAGCUGAACAGUCUGAAAUGGUGAUUCCUUUGAGACAUAAGACUGUUCCUCAGUGAGUUGAGUGGCCAUCUGCCCCAUCUGAUCAGUCAAACUCUGAAUUGAAGCACUGGUCUCCUGUUGAAAGUCCAUGUUCUCUCGCUGGAACUGAAUGUUCAGAAUAGUCAUUUGCUCCAAUAACUCCUUCAAUGUAGGCUCAGAAGUAGUGGAAGGAUGAGGAGUUUCUUGGGCAGGCUCAUGAAACUGCAGCUGCUGUGGUUCCUGAACAGGCGGAGAAGGCAUACAAGGAGUCUGGAAUGAUGGUUCCUGAUAUUGAUGCUCUGAAUUACCAUACCAUCCCAAG